CAGUAGCCACGGUAAUACGUAGGGUGCAAGCGUUAAUCGGAAUUACUGGGCGUAAAGCGUGCGCAGGCGGUUAUAUAAGUCAGAUGUGAAAUCCCCGGGCUCAACCUGGGAACUGCAUUUGAGACUGUAUGGCUAGAGUGUGUCAGAGGGGGGUAGAAUUCCACGUGUAGCAGUGGAAUGCGUAGAUAUGUGGAGGAAUACCGAUGGCGAAGGCAGCCCCCUGGGAUAACACUGACGCUCAUGCACGAAAGCGUGGGGAGCAGACAGGAUUAGAUACCCCCGUAGUCCCUGUCUCUUAUAC
rnacentral:rRNA from 1 species